rnacentral:lncRNA from 1 species
UUGUAAUUUCGAAUGUAAUUUACACAGUUGGUUGCUGGCGUUAGAGGAUUUGGUGGGGUUGGGUUCAUGUUAUGGUGAUUGGUUUCUUGUCUUGGUUGCUGGAGUUUAGUUUUGUCCAAAAUUUAGGCACUCAUAAUUUGAUUUAUUCCUUUGCCGUAGGUUUCUUUAUACUUUGUUGCUGUUUGGAGUUGAUCUUGAAGAUGUUAUUGGUGUCGCUGUUGAUGGACGUGGUGUAGGCAAGUUUAUGGUAGUUACGUUGGUAUUUGUAUGACGUUUUUGUUUGUUACGCCUCGUAAUGUUAAUCAGGCAGCGUGUCUUUUAAUUAAGACGUAACUUUAGUUUUUGAUACUUAGUUCGGGUUUGGAUAGAUUUGCUAUUCUAUGUACUAUCUUAUGAUAUUCAAUAAAGCAUCAAAUUCAUAUAAAAAAACAAUAUUCUUGUUGCUCGCAAGAAGUUUAUAUAUGAGUUGGUGUUGUAAAUAUUAUUUAUUAUGUGGCCAUUCACUUAUGGAUCAAUACGUAAUUAGUCAGGACUUUUCUACGUAAAUCAUAAACCUAUAAUAUAAACACUAUAAUGAGAACGAAAAGACACUCUGAUUUUUCCUCCCAAUCUCUCUCUCGUCUCUCCUUGUUCUCUCUUACUCUACACUUUAUUUUUAAUAGUUGGUUAUUGAUCUCGAGUCAUGCGUCCGGCUCCUCCCUUAUAUCAUCUGUAUUAAAAAAAACUAAUAUUUCAAAUGCUAAAGGAAAACAUUAUUCCAAUGACAUACAGAGUGGAAAACAAGAGCACAUACUAUGUAUACUAUGGUCGUGGGAGAUCUUGACAAACCCAGGUCUCCGAUAAGCCUCCUAGAACUAGAAGACUUGGGGUGAAAGCAAAUCGACAACCACGCUUUGUCCCCACAAAAAUUGGGCAUCUUUUGACACGAACAAACACUUUUGUUCAUAUGUUCAACUAUUUUAAUUGUGUGAUUUUUCUAACUUAAAGACUCCAAGAAAGUCAAAAUUGAAUACGAAAGUUUUGGAAGAUUUUUGUUUGUCCACAUAGAUAUAUCCAUCUUCUUAUAUCGCUCAUCAUAUGAUUAAGAAAAACUAAUUUAUUCAAUCAUAUGCAAGCAUCAAGCAUCUCUUCACGACUUCGAGAAAUUCUUAUGUCUGACGAUUAUACUUAUUCAGGUCCAAAUGAUACGCAAACACAUUGAAACACAUUUUCUUAUAAGUGAGUCAAAUGAUCCACAUUAUUGUACUGUCGGACGCGAGAAUUUCUCUACUACUCAACACAGACAUUUGUGGACACUUGUUUAUUAAAUUAUUUAUGUAUUCCUUUCGUUGAAUUUAAAUUUUUCAAAAGGUGUCCUUGGUGAAUGGAGUACAUUUUUUAAGUACAAAUGGGUGUCAAUGUUUCAUGGUCCAAAUAAACAACUCAAAGUCUUCACGUAUAACUCUUAGGCCUGGUCAAUUCAUUCUGUUCCAGAUAUGGCCGGUCCACCCAAUGUCCCUAUUUCAUAUCUCCUAGUGAGUGGAGUUACUCCAUGACUUUUCGUGUCAACCAUGCCUUUGCAUUUCUUAUAGGCAAAUGCCGGCCAUGCUUUCUUAUUUUUUUAUUUGCCUAAUAUAUAGACUUUCUUUAUUCUUUGCUCCUCACACGUUGCAAUCAAAUUUAACUAUUGUAGUAGUAAGUUAGAGCAUCCCUUCUUGUCUUCAUUAUUUCAAAUGUCAAUGCCAAAGUUCGAUAGCUUCUAGCAACAUUCCCAUUGACCACUUGUUUCAAAGAAAAAGUAACGUAGAUGGUAGAUUUCAACAGUUAAGAGAGUUCGGUGGGUAAAAAAUAAAAAUAAAAAGUUCAAGUGGUACUGAUGUGCAUUCUUUGCAAGAUGUGGUGGUUCUUGCGUAAAAUCCUCUUAUUUCAAGUGUCAAUGCCAAGUUCAAUAGCUUCUCGCAACACUCCCAUCCACCACUUGUUUUUAGGAAGAAGUGUAGAUUUUAGAUUUGUAUGGUAGAGAACUCAUCUCUGUAUUCAUGAUUGUAAUUCGAUUCUAGCGAUUGAGAGCUAUAUAGGAAUAGAUGUUUCAGAUAAGGUUUUUCUCGUACAAAACUUAUCUAUGCAUUCAUGAUAAAAGUUCGACUCUAACGAUUCAGGAUUACCCCGGAAUAGACAGAUGUGAGAGAGUUUUUAGAGUUAGAGAAGUUAUUUCGGUACUCAUAACAAGAGUUCGACUCUAAUCAUUGGAAACUAUCAACAGACAAAUGAGAACAAGUACCUGCAGUAGAUAACUUAUCUUUGUAUUCAUGAUAAGGGUUC